GCGGCAGGCCUAACACAUGCAAGUCGUGCGCGAACGGGACUUCGGUCCCUAGUAGAGCGGCGAACGGGUGAGUAACACGUGGGUAACCUGCCUGGGAGUGGGGGAUAACCUGGGGAAACUCGGGCUAAUACCGCAUACGUUCCCGGGGCUUCGGCUCCGGGAGGAAAGAUGGCCUCUUCUCGAAAGCUAUCUCUCCCAGAGGGGCCCGCGGCUGAUUAGCUAGUUGGUGGGGUAACGGCCCACCAAGGCGACGAUCAGUAGCCGGCCUGAGAAGGUGAUCGGCCACACUGGAACUGAGACACGGUCCAGACUCCUACGGGAGGCAGCAGUGGGGAAUAUUGGACAAUGGGGGAAACCCUGAUCCAGCAACGCCGCGUGGGGGAUGAAGGUCUUCGGAUUGUAAACCCCUGUUGAGAGGGACGAAGGCUUUCGGGCGAACAGUCCGGAAGCUUGACGGUACCUCGAGAGGAAGCCCCGGCUAACUCUGUGCCAGCAGCCGCCGUAAGAC
rnacentral:rRNA from 1 species